GUGCUCACUUUGGCAGCACAUAUACUAAAAUUGGAAGGACUCAAAGAAGAUCACCAUAGCUCCUGGGCAAAUGCAAACUGGCGAAAUGUUUCAGUUUCUU
ensembl:snRNA U6 U6 spliceosomal RNA